UACGGAGGGUGCAAGCGUUAAUCGGAUUACUGGGCGUAAAGCGCGCGUAGGCGGUUAUUUAAGUCAGAUGUGAAAGCCCCGGGCUUAACCUGGGAAUGGCAUUUGAGACUGGAUGGCUAGAGUAUGGUAGAGGUGAGUGGAAUUUCAGGUGUAGCGGUGAAAUGCGUAGAGAUCUGAAGGAACAUCAGUGGCGAAGGCGACUCACUGGGCCAUUACUGACGCUGAGGUGCGAAAGCGUGGGGAGCGAACAGG
rnacentral:rRNA from 1 species